GACGAACGCUGGCGGCGUGCCUAAUACAUGCAAGUCGAGCGGACUUGAUGAAGUGCUUGCACUUCUGAUGGUUAGCGGCGGACGGGUGAGUAACACGUAGGUAACCUGCCUAUAAGACUGGGAUAACAUUCGGAAACGAAUGCUGAUACCGGAUACGCGAAUUGGUCGCAUGGCCGAAUCGGGAAAGACGGAGCAAUCUGUCACUUAUAGAUGGACCUGCGGCGCAUUAGCUAGUUGGUGAGGUAACGGCUCACCAAGGCGACGAUGCGUAGCCGACCGGAGAGGUUGAUCGGCCACACUGGGACUGAGAAACGGCCCAGACUCCUACGGGAGGCAGCAGUAGGGAAUCUUCCGCAAUGGACGAAAGUCUGACGGAGCAACGCCGCGUGAGUGAUGAAGGUUUUCGGAUCGUAAAGCUCUGUUGCCAGGGAAGAACGCUUGGGAGAGUAACUGCUCUCAAGGUGACGGUACCUGAGAAGAAAGCCCCGGCUAACUACGUGCCAGCCGCCGCGGUAA
rnacentral:rRNA from 1 species